rnacentral:rRNA from 1 species
CCUACGGGUGGCUGCAGUGGGGAAUAUUUGACAAUGGGCGAAAGCCUGAUCCAGCCAUGCCGCGUGUGUGAAGAAGGCCUUCGGGUUGUAAAGCACUUUCAGUGGGGAAGAAAGCCUUGGGGCUAAUACCCUCGAGGAAGGACAUCACCCACAGAAGAAGCACCGGCUAACUCCGUGCCAGCAGCCGCGGUAAUACGGAGGGUGCGAGCGUUAAUCGGAAUUACUGGGCGUAAAGCGCGCGUAGGCGGUCUGAUAAGCCGGUUGUGAAAGCCCCGGGCUCAACCUGGGAACGGCAUCCGGAACUGUCAGGCUAGAGUGCAGGAGAGGAAGGUAGAAUUCCCGGUGUAGCGGUGAAAUGCGUAGAGAUCGGGAGGAAUACCAGUGGCGAAGGCGGCCUUCUGGACUGACACUGACGCUGAGGUGCGAAAGCGUGGGUAGCAAACAGGAUUAGAUACCCCAGUAGUC